CUUUGCGAGUGAAUCACGGAAUCAUUGAUUCACUCGGGAACCAAACACCAGCACAGUGUGCUUCCAGGAGACGCACUUGCUUUGUUUGGAAUUAUUUGUCUUGGCGGAGCAAAUUUACUGAAAAAUUCUUUUCUCUUGAACUUGGAGCCUGACUGUUGCGAGAAGAAACCCCACCAGCCCCAAAGACAUAUUCUCUCAAUUUAACAGCAGACCGAGGUGUUUCUCCAACAUCAUCGGAUCAAUGAAAACCCCAGGGACGAAGCUGAUUGCCAAAGAUUGGACAAGCUAACAAGCGCAUGAUGAGGAACCAGUUGGUUCUUCUUGCUUUCUCUCAGUUUUCGGAGGUCUUUGGGACAGACACACACAAAAGGGAAGCUGAUCCAUGGAUGUAUUCUGUCAUUCUUUUGGAGGCUGCUUUUUCUUCCUUGUUUUGACUUGGUUCAACUUGACAGGGUGCUUUUAAGGAUAUUGUGGGGUCCAAAAAUAAGUGGAAUUCCAGGAAAUCAAUGAAAGGAUGUAUUCAUGGAUCGGAGCUGGUGGACUAAAUUUUAACUCCGUUUCAGUUCAAGUCACUGACUCAUUUAUCAGAGUCUUCCAUCAUAGAGGUGGCCUAUUGAGAUCGGCACACUUUGGUUUUUCCGUUACAUGUGGGUGAGUCUUAACGUUUUCUAUGGAUCCAUCUUAUCCCAUAUAUGAUUAGCGAUUGGUGAGAGACACAGAGAGGGAGGGUCAUUUCAUACACCCAACUCACCCUCUGAUCUAAAAUAACUAUGGUUCUACUGGAAUUUUCCCACACAAAAGAAACAAGUAAAAUAAAUA